UUUCCCCUACCCUUGUGUCCCCUGUGCUCCUGUCUGUUUCUCUGUCUGUGUCUGUGUGGUGGGCGUGGCGCUCCUCUGCUUCCGGCUCCCUGGUCACUGCUGAUUUGACACACCUGUUCCAAGCCAGUCACCUGCAAACCAUCAGCUCAUCAGCCCUGCAGUAUAUCUACCCCAGUUUUCCAGCCGCUCAUCGCCAGAUUGUUUCACUGCUGCGAUCCAUCACCUGCUCAUCCAGCUGCCAGCCACUUACCUGCACGUCCGCCUCUCCACAUCACUGCUGCCUUCAUCUACUGUGGAUCUCCUUGCCCUUGCCAUCAGCCCUCCAUCCAAUACCCCCCCUCUACAAUAAAAGACUUUAUAUCAACAACA